rnacentral:rRNA from 1 species
UACGAAGGGGGCGAGCGUUGUUCGGAAUUACUGGGCGUAAAGGGCGCGCAGGCGGCCCUUUAAGUCAGGCGUGAAAGCCCCGGGCUCAACCUGGGAGGUGCGCUUGAUACUCGAGGGCUUGAGUGCGGGAGAGGAGAGUGGAAUUCCCAGUGUAGAGGUGAAAUUCGUAGAGAUUGGGAAGAACACCGGUGGCGAAGGCGGCUCUCUGGACCGUAACUGACGCUGAGGCGCGAAAGCGUGGGGAGCAAACAGG